UACGUAGGGGGCUAGCGUUGUUCGGAAUUACUGGGCGUAAAGCGCACGCAGGCGGUGGUCAUAGUCAGAAGUGAAAGCCCUGGGCUCAACCCGGGAAUUGCUUUUGAUACUGGACCGCUAGAAUCACGGAGAGGGUAGUGGAAUUCCGAGUGUAGAGGUGAAAUUCGUAGAUAUUCGGAAGAACACCAGUGGCGAAGGCGACUACCUGGCCGUCGAUUGACGCUCAUGUGCGAAAGCGUGGGGAGCAAACAGG
rnacentral:rRNA from 1 species